UACGGAGGGUGCAAGCGUUAUCCGGAUUCACUGGGUUUAAAGGGUGCGUAGGCGGGUAUGUAAGUCAGCGGUGAAAUCCCCGAGCUUAACUUGGGAACUGCCGUUGAUACUAUAUAUCUUGAAUGUCGUGGAGGUUAGCGGAAUAUGUCAUGUAGCGGUGAAAUGCUUAGAUAUGACAUAGAACACCCAUUGCGAAGGCAGCUCGCUACACUAUUAUUGACGCUGAGGCACGAAAGCGUGGGGAUCAAACAGG
rnacentral:rRNA from 1 species